AUAAAAAUAAAAAGGAGGACUGGUAGAAAAAGGGGGGGGAGCGUUUUUGAGAGGGAAGAGAGAAGACCAGAGAGAGAGAAACUCACCCAUCUUCAUUCUUCUUCUCCUUCAAUUAUUUUUCUUUGUUUCUUCUUUAGAAUCAAAAGUUCUUUUGACCCAAUUGUUUUUCUUCUUCAAAUUUGGGUUUUUUCCUCUUUCUCGGACCAAACCCUAGAACAGUGAGCAAUGAAGAUUGAAGGCUUAGUUUUUUUUUUUAUUUUUUUGUGCGAGGGAGAGCACCAAAUGUUGAAUCCGAGUAAGAUCGGUGGUUAGUGUGAGGCACUAAGAGAAUCAGUUUGCGAGUCAAAGAGAGAACACAGGACUGGGAGAGCAAGAUACAUAAUGUUCGAACCAAGGGUUACCGUAAAGAGGAGGAACAGGUUUUUCAAAAUUUGAAGUUGAAUUUUCUCCAACCUAAGGGAGAUGAUGCGAUCAUAUAUAGGAAAAUGAUGAAGAGAUUAAAAGAGUCACAAGAAGAAUAAAAAAACAUAGCAUAGAUUUUAUGGCUUGUAUUUUGGUGUUUAGUAGCAUAGGUUUUUCAUAGACUUGUAUUUUUUCUUUCUUGUUUCUUUCUUUUAGUUUGGUUGUAAAGAAGCUUAUGUAUUCUUCUUUUCUUUAAGGUGCAAAAAAUGUGGACUUCACAUAGUUUGGACUUAAAAGAUUGAAGAAUAAAUAAGAAGUCUCUUCUCUUUUUA